CUCAUUGCACGCUGGGAUCCGGCCUAGCACCUGUGCCUCCACCGCGAAGGUCCUUCCGCCUGAGUACAGCGGCGGACGGUCGAGUGGCGCGUAGGAAUCUGCCUGGUAGGGCGGGACAACUUGUCGAAACUCCAUGUUAUACCGCAUACACCCUAAAGGCGAACGCCGGGGACCCUCGGGCCUCACGCUAUCCCAUGAUCCUGCGUAUGAUUAGCUAUAUGGCGGUGUAAAGGCCCACCAAGGCGACGAUCCUUACCUGGCCUGAGAGGAUGAUCAACAUCACUGCAACUGAAACUCCGUCCAGACUCCUACGGGAGGCCUCCCUGGGGAAUAUUGCUCAAUGGGCUAAAGCCUGACGCAGCCAUGCCCCGUGUGUGAAGAACGCCUUAGGGUUGCACAGCACUUUCAAUUGAGAAGAAAAGUUUGUCGUUAGUAGCUGCAACCUCUGACGUUACCUUUAGAAUAAGCACCGGCUAACUCCUGGUCAGCAUCCGCGGUGAUACGCACGGUGCGACCGUUUAUCGCAAUUACUGGGCGUAUAGCGCGCGUACGCGGCUUGUUAAUUCAGCUGUGACAGCCCCGGGCUCAUCCUGGGAACUGCAGUUGAUACUGGCCGACUAGAGUACGAGAGACGGACGUACCAAUUCCAUGCGUAGCGGUGAAGUGUGUAGAUAUAUGGAGGAAUACCAGUGGAGAAGGCGGCCUCCUGGCUCGAUACUGACGCGGAGGUGCGAAAGCGUGGGGAUCAAUCAGGUUUAGAUACUCUGGUAGUCCAUGCUGUUAACGAUGUAUACUAGCCGCUGGGAGACUCGAUUUCUUAGUGGGGUAGUUAGCGCAUUAAGUAGUCUGACUGGGGAGUUCGGACGCACGGUUAAAUCUCAAAUGAUUAGGCGGGGCACUGCACAAGGCGGUGGAGCAGGUGGUGUAAUUGGAUGUAACGUGAAGAACAUUAGCAGGUCUAGACAUCCUGUGAAUUUUGUAGAGAUAGAUUAGUGCAUUCGGGAACGCAGUGACAGGUGUGGCAUGGCGGUGGUCAGCUGGUGUUGUGAGACGUGGGGUUAAGUCCUGUACCGAGGGCAACCUUUGUCACUUAGUUGCCAGCACUUAUUGGUGGGAAGUCUAAGGAGAAUCCGGGUGUCAAACCGGAGGAAGGUGGGGACGAUGUCAAGUCAUCUUGGACUUUGGGACGUGGGUUACUCACGUGGUACAAUGGAAUGCUCAGAGGGCUGCAAAGGCUCGAGGUGGAGGGAAUCCCACAAAACGUUUAGUAGUCCGGAUUGGAGUGUGCAAUUCGUCUCCAUGAAGUCGGAAUCGCUAGUAAUGGUGAAUCAGAAUGUCUCGGUGAAUAGGUUCCCGGCCUUGGUACACGCCGCCUGUCACACCAUGGGAGUGGGUCCAAAGGAAGAUGGGUGGAGUAACGUUCGGGAGGUCGAUCACCACUGCGUGAUUCAUGACUGGGG
rnacentral:rRNA from 1 species